rnacentral:rRNA from 1 species
GACGAACGCUGGCGGCGUGCCUAAUACAUGCAAGUAGAACGCUGAAGGAGGAGCUUGCUUCUCUGGAUGAGUUGCGAACGGGUGAGUAACGCGUAGGUAACCUGCCUGGUAGCGGGGGAUAACUAUUGGAAACGAUAGCUAAUACCGCAUAAGAGUAGAUGUCGCAUGACAUUUGCUUAAAAGGUGCACUUGCAUCACUACCAGAUGGACCUGCGUUGUAUUAGCUAGUUGGUGAGGUAACGGCUCACCAAGGCAACGAUACAUAGCCGACCUGAGAGGGUGAUCGGCCACACUGGGACUGAGACACGGCCCAGACUCCUACGGGAGGCAGCAGUAGGGAAUCUUCGGCAAUGGACGGAAGUCUGACCGAGCAACGCCGCGUGGGUGAAGAAGGUUUUCGGAUCGUAAAGCUCUGUUGUAAGAGAAGAACGAGUGUGAGAGUGGAAAGUUCACACUGUGACGGUAUCUUACCAGAAAGGGACGGCUAACUACGUG